AGAGAGGCAUGAAAAUGCCCAGGGACACCAUACCCUAGCCAAGGAGCCUGAGGAGCCUGCAUCCUGUGAGGGUCCCCACCAUGGCCUGGACUGUGUUUCUUCUUGGGCUCCUCACUUAUGGCUCAGGAGCAGAUUCUCAGAAUGUGGUGACCCAGGAGCCAUCAGUGACCAUUUCUUCAGGAGGCACAGUCACACUUACCUGUGCCCUUAGUUCUGGCUCAGUCUCAACAGGUCACUACCCAAGCUGGUACCAGCAGACUGCAGGCCAGCCUCCUCACAUGAUUAUAUACAACACAAACAGCUGUCCCUCAGGUGUCCCUGACUGCUUCUCUGGGUCCAUCUCUGGUAACAAAGCCGCCCUCACCAUCACCGAGGCCCAGCCUGAGGAUGAAGCUGAUUAUUACUGUGUUCUGUAUUUUGGUGGUUAUACUCACACAGUGAUUUAA